rnacentral:tRNA from 1 species
GGAUUUUGGCUCAGUGGUAGAGCACUUGACUAGCAUGCAUGAGGCACUGGGUUUGAUUCUCAGCACCA